GACGUAGGGUGCGAGCGUUGUCCGGAUUUAUUGGGCGUAAAGAGCUCGUAGGCGGCCUGUCGCGUCAGCUGUGAAAACCCGCGGCUUAACCGUGGGCUUGCAGCUGAUACGGGCAGGCUAGAGUUCGGUAGGGGAGACUGGAAUUCCUGGUGUAGCGGUGAAAUGCGCAGAUAUCAGGAGGAACACCAAUGGCGAAGGCAGCUCGCUGGAACGGUACUGACGCUGAGGCGCGAAAGCAUGGGGAGCGAACAGG
rnacentral:rRNA from 1 species